GCAUAUCAAUAAGCGGAGGGAAAAGAAACCAACAGGGGAUUGCCUCAGUAACGGCGAGUGAAGCGGCAACAGCUCAAAUUUGAAACCUGCCAACAGGCCGGAUUGUAAUUUGUAGAGGAUGCUUUGGGGUAGGCACUGAUCUAAGUUUCUUGGAACAGUACGUCACAGAGGGUGAGAAUCCCGUUCGUGGUCGGUUGCCUGCUCCGUGUAAAGCUCCUUCGACGAGUCGAGUUGUUUGGGAAUGCAGCUCAAAAUGGGUGGUAAAUUUCAUCUAAAGCUAAAUAUUGGCCAGAGACCGAUAGCGCACAAGUAGAGUGAUCGAAAGAUGAAAAGCACUUUGGAAAGAGAGUUAAACAGCACGUGAAAUUGUUGAAAGGGAAGCGCUUGCAAUCAGACUUGCGCGUAGGUAAUCAAGGGCGGUUCGCUGCCCUGCACUUGCCUGCGCUCAGGCCAGCAUCAGUUCUGGGGGUGGGAGAAAGGCCGUUGGAAUGUGGCUCUUCGGAGUGUUAUAGCCUUCGGUGCCAUGCUGCCUCCCGGGACUGAGGACCGCGCUUCGGCUAGGAUGCUGGCGUAAUGAUUGUAAGCGACCCGUCUUGAAACACGGACCAAGGAGUCUAACAUCUAUGCGAGUGUUUGGGUGUCAAACCCACACGCGGAAUGAAAGUGAACGGAGGUGAGAACCCUUGAGGGUGCAUCAUCGACCGAUCCUGAUGUCUUCGGAUGGAUUUGAGUAUGAGCAUAGCUGUUGGGACCCGAAAGAUGGUGAACUAUGCCUGAAUAGGGUGAAGCCAGAGGAAACUCUGGUGGAGGCUCGCAGCGGUUCUGACGUGCAAAUCGAUCGUCAAAUUUGGGCAUAGGGGCGAAAGACUAAUCGAACCAUCUAGUAGCUGGGUUCCUGCCGAA
rnacentral:rRNA from 1 species